rnacentral:rRNA from 1 species
UUAAGCGACCAAGCGUACACGGUGGAUGCCCUGGCAGUCAGAGGCGAUGAAGGACGUGCUAAUCUGCGAAAAGCGCCGGUAAGGUGAUAUGAACCGUUAUAACCGGCGAUGUCCGAAUGGGGAAACCCAGUGUGACUCGUCACACUAUCAUUAACUGAAUCCAUAGGUUAAUGAGGCGAACCGGGGGAACUGAAACAUCUAAGUACCCCGAGGAAAAGAAAUCAACCGAGAUUCCCCCAGUAGCGGCGAGCGAACGGGGAGGAGCCCAGAGCCUGAAUCAGCAUGUGUGUUAGUGGAAGCGUCUGGAAAGGCGUGCGAUACAGGGUGAGAGCCCCGUACACAAAAGCGCAUAUGCUGUGAGCUCGAUGAGUAGGGCGGGACACGUGGUAUCCUGUCUGAAUAUGGGGGGACCAUCCUCCAAGGCUAAAUACUCCUGACUGACCGAUAGUGAACCAGUACCGUGAGGGAAAGGCGAAAAGAACCCCGGCGAGGGGAGUGAAACAGAACCUGAAACCGUGUACGUACAAGCAGUGGGAGCCCCACCACUAAGCCAGUGGUGAACUCCACAUACGCAUCCUUUGCGGAAGAUGCGGUUAACGGAGCGAAAGCGACGUUCAACCUCAGAAGAAGCAGAGGGGGCUUAGUGGUGGGGUGACUGCGUACCUUUUGUAUAAUGGGUCAGCGACUUAUAUUCUGUAGCAAGGUUAACCGCAUAGGGGAGCCGAAGGGAAACCGAGUCUUAAUUGGGCGUUAAGUUGCAGGGUAUAGACCCGAAACCCGGUGAUCUAGCCAUGGGCAGGUUGAAGGUUGGGUAACACUAACUGGAGGACCGAACCGACUAAUGUUGAAAAAUUAGCGGAUGACCUGUGGCUGGGGGUGAAAGGCCAAUCAAACCGGGAGAUAGCUGGUUCUCCCCGAAAGCUAUUUAGGUAGCGCCUCGUGAACUCAUCUCCGGGGGUAGAGCACUGUUUCGGCUAGGGGGCCAUCCCGGCUUACCAACCCGAUGCAAACUGCGAAUACCGGAGAAUGUUAUCACGGGAGACACACGGCGGGUGCUAACGUCCGUCGUGAAGAGGGAAACAACCCAGACCGCCAGCUAAGGUCCCAAAGUCAUGGUUAAGUGGGAAACGAUGUGGGAAGGCCCAGACAGCCAGGAUGUUGGCUUAGAAGCAGCCAUCAUUUAAAGAAAGCGUAAUAGCUCACUGGUCGAGUCGGCCUGCGCGGAAGAUGUAACGGGGCUAAACCAUGCACCGAAGCUGCGGCAGCGACACUGUGUGUUGUUGGGUAGGGGAGCGUUCUGUAAGCCGUCGAAGGUGUGUCGUGAGGCAUGCUGGAGGUAUCAGAAGUGCGAAUGCUGACAUAAGUAACGAUAAAGCGGGUGAAAAGCCCGCUCGCCGGAAGACCAAGGGUUCCUGUCCAACGUUAAUCGGGGCAGGGUGAGUCGACCCCUAAGGCGAGGCCGAAAGGCGUAGUCGAUGGGAAACGGGUUAAUAUUCCCGUACUUGGUGUUACUGCGAAGGGGGGACGGAGAAGGCUAUGUUGGCCGGGCGACGGUAGUCCCGGUUUAAGCGUGUAGGUGUGUGUUCCAGGCAAAUCCGGUUCACUUUAACACUGAGGCGUGAUGACGAGGCACCACGGUGCUGAAGCAACAAAUGCCCUGCUUCCAGGAAAAGCCUCUAAGCAUCAGGUAACAUCAAAUCGUACCCCAAACCGACACAGGUGGUCAGGUAGAGAAUACCAAGGCGCUUGAGAGAACUCGGGUGAAGGAACUAGGCAAAAUGGUGCCGUAACUUCGGGAGAAGGCACGCUGACACGUAGGUGAAGUGAUUUACUCAUGGAGCUGAAGUCAGUCGAAGAUACCAGCUGGCUGCAACUGUUUAUUAAAAACACAGCACUGUGCAAACACGAAAGUGGACGUAUACGGUGUGACGCCUGCCCGGUGCCGGAAGGUUAAUUGAUGGGGUCAGCGCAAGCGAAGCUCCUGAUCGAAGCCCCGGUAAACGGCGGCCGUAACUAUAACGGUCCUAAGGUAGCGAAAUUCCUUGUCGGGUAAGUUCCGACCUGCACGAAUGGCGUAAUGAUGGCCAGGCUGUCUCCACCCGAGACUCAGUGAAAUUGAACUCGCUGUGAAGAUGCAGUGUACCCGCGGCAAGACGGAAAGACCCCGUGAACCUUUACUAUAGCUUGACACUGAACAUUGAGCCUUGAUGUGUAGGAUAGGUGGGAGGCUUUGAAGCGUGGACGCCAGUCUGCGUGGAGCCGACCUUGAAAUACCACCCUUUAAUGUUUGAUGUUCUAACGUGGACCCGUAAUCCGGGUUGCGGACAGUGUCUGGUGGGUAGUUUGACUGGGGCGGUCUCCUCCUAAAGAGUAACGGAGGAGCACGAAGGUUGGCUAAUCCUGGUCGGACAUCAGGAGGUUAGUGCAAUGGCAUAAGCCAGCUUGACUGCGAGCGUGACGGCGCGAGCAGGUGCGAAAGCAGGUCAUAGUGAUCCGGUGGUUCUGAAUGGAAGGGCCAUCGCUCAACGGAUAAAAGGUACUCCGGGGAUAACAGGCUGAUACCGCCCAAGAGUUCAUAUCGACGGCGGUGUUUGGCACCUCGAUGUCGGCUCAUCACAUCCUGGGGCUGAAGUAGGUCCCAAGGGUAUGGCUGUUCGCCAUUUAAAGUGGUACGCGAGCUGGGUUUAGAACGUCGUGAGACAGUUCGGUCCCUAUCUGCCGUGGGCGCUGGAAGACUGAGGGGGGCUGCUCCUAGUACGAGAGGACCGGAGUGGACGCAUCACUGGUGUUCGGGUUGUCAUGCCAAUGGCACUGCCCGGUAGCUAAAUGCGGAAAAGAUAAGUGCUGAAAGCAUCUAAGCACGAAACUUGCCCCGAGAUGAGUCUUCCCUGAGACCUUGAGUCUCCUGAAGGAACGUUAAAGACGAUGACGUUGAUAGGCCGGGUGUGUAAGCGCAGCGAUGCGUUGAGCUAACCGGUACUAAUGAACCGUGAGGCUUAACCUU